UACGGGGGGGGGCAAGCGUUGUUCGGAAUUACUGGGCGUAAAGGGUCUGUAGGUGGCCAACUAAGUCAGACGUGAAAUCCCUCAGCUUAACUGGGGAACUGCGUCUGAUACUGGUUGGCUUGAGUGCAGGAGAGGAAUGCGGAAUUCCAGGUGUAGCGGUGAAAUGCGUAGAUAUCAGGAGGAACACCGAUGGCGAAGGCAGGUCUCUGGGCCGUAACUGACGCUGAGGAGCGAAAGCGUGGGGAGCGAACAGG
rnacentral:rRNA from 1 species